rnacentral:rRNA from 1 species
CAGUAUGUGAUAUUAUAGUUAUAUCUGAUUAAACAAUAAACUACCGACUUAGAACUGCUGCGGACUUCGAGGAAUCUGACUGUUUAAUUAAAACAUAGCAUUGUGAUAGUC